UACGUAGGUGGCAAGCGUUGUCCGGAUUUACUGGGCGUAAAGAGCGCGCAGGCGGUCGUUCAAGUCGCGUGUGAAAGCCCCCGGCUCAACUGGGGAGGGUCACGCGAUACUGAUCGACUCGAAGGCAGGAGAGGGUAGUGGAAUUCCCGGUGUAGCGGUGAAAUGCGCAGAGAUCGGGAGGAACACCAAUGGCGAAAGCAGGUACCUGGACUAUUACUGACACUAAGCUGCGAAAGCUAGGGGAGCAAACAGG
rnacentral:rRNA from 1 species